rnacentral:rRNA from 1 species
CCCUACCUUAAUUAGACGGUAUCCCGCCUGCACUGUGACACUAGUUUAACGGCCGCGGUAUUUUGACCGUGCAAAGGUAGCGCAAUCACUUGUCUUUUAAAUGAAGACCUGUAUGAAUGGCAUAACGAGGGCUUAACUGUCUCCUUUUUCCAGUCAAUGAAAUUGAUCUCCCCGUGCAGAAGCGGGGAUAAUUACAUAAGACGAGAAGACCCUAUGGAGCUUUAGAUAAGAGAUGGACCAUGUUAAUAAAUCUAUUUAAUAAGAACAAACUUAUUGGUCACCAUUUUAAUAUCUUUGGUUGGGGCGACCGCGGGGUAAUAAUUAACCCCCAAGUGGAAAAAGAGAACCUCUCUCAUAACCUAGACUGACAAAUCCAAGUAUCAGAAAAUCUGACCAAAAAUGACCCGGCAAAGCCGAUCAACGAACCGAGUUACCCUAGGGAUAACAGCGCAAUCCUCUCCUAGAGCCCAUAUCGACAGAGGGUUUACGACCUCGAUGUUGGAUCAGGACAUCCUAAUGGUGCAGCCGCUAUUAGGGGUUCGUUUGUUCAACGAUUAAAGUCCUACGUGAUCUGAUUCAAAACCGGGAGUUCCUCUGUUUAUUAAAAAAAAAAUGGGUGGUGCUGAUUCCAACAGCGGGUUUUUUUUUUUUUAUAUACUUGCUUU